rnacentral:rRNA from 1 species
GACGAACGCUUGCGGCGUGCUUAACACAUGCAAGUCGAACGAUGAAGCUGGAGCUUGCUCCGGUGGAUUAGUGGCGAACGGGUGAGUGACACGUGAGCAAUCUGCCCUUGACUCUGGGAUAACUGCGGGAAACUGUAGCUAAUACCGGAUACUUUCACUGGAAGGCAUCUUCUGGUGAAGAAAGAAUUUCGGUCAAGGAUGAGCUCGCGGCCUAUCAGCUUGUUGGUGAGGUAACGGCUCACCAAGGCGACGACGGGUAGCCGGCCUGAGAGGGUGAGCGGCCACACUGGGACUGAGACACGGCCCAGACUCCUACGGGAGGCAGCAGGGGGGGAUAUUGAACAAUGGGCGCAAGCCUGAUGCAGCAACGCCGCGUGAGGGAUGAAGGCCUUCGGGUUGUAAACCUCUUUUAGCAGGGAGGAAGCGAAAGUGACGGUACCCGCAGAAGAAGCACCGGCUAACUACGUGCCAGCCGCCGCCGUAACAC